ensembl:snRNA U6 U6 spliceosomal RNA
GUGCUCACUUCGGCAGCACAGAUACUAAAACUGGAAGGACACAGAGAAGAUUAGCCUGGCCCUUGUGCAAGGAUGACAUGCGAAUUCGUGAAGUGUUCCAUAUUUUU